rnacentral:rRNA from 1 species
GACGAAGGUGGCGACCGUUGUUCGGAAUCACUGGGCAUAAAGAGCACGUAGGCGGCAAGGUAAGUCGGGUGUGAAAUCCCUCGGCCUAACCGAGGAAUUGCGCCCGAAACUACCGUGCUUGAGGAUGGAAGGGGAGCGUGGAAUUCCUGGUGGAGCGGUGAAAUGCGUUGAUAUCAGGAGGAACACCGGCGGCGAAGGCGACGCUCUGGUCCAUUUCUGACGCUGAGGUGCGAAAGCCAGGGGAGCAAACAGG